rnacentral:tRNA from 1 species
UCUAAAAUGACAGAAAAAUGUAAUGGAUUUAAACCCCAUCUAUAAAGUAUUAUUUACUUUUUUUAGAA